rnacentral:tRNA from 1 species
GACAGUGUUGUGCAGUGGUUUGGGUGUUGGACUGCUACUCUGCAGACCAGGGUUUGAUUCCCAGCUUGGCCC